UUCUCUUGAUUAUUUCUUCUUAUUGUUCUUCACUAGGUUAAACCCAAGUCAUCUAUGUUCUCGGUUUCUUCUUCCUAGUAUUUUUCUAUGUUCUUGUCCGCUCAGUUCUGUACUUCUUCGUCAAUUUCAUCAAAAUCCUAUCAUUCCUCAAAUGUGUUUCAUCCUCUAAAUUCUUAAAACCUUAACUUUUUAAAAGUUACUUUUCAAAUUAUAAUUUGUUCUAGAGGUCGAUUUUGAUGAAAUCGUCACCAUAUCGACAUCAAGCUUAAAAACAUUUCGAAAAGUUCAUUGUUAAAGGCUUAUCUUUACCGAUAUAUUUUAUAUGGUUUUUGAUUCAUAUGGUGACAGAUUGAUGUCGAUAUCCGACUCACAUACAUGUGAAAGAAGACGGACCAAAGAGAAGGUAUAUAUUGAGAGAAACAAUUUACAUAUCCAUCCCUCGUUUCAUGUUUUGUCUAGCCUGCUUCGCAUAGAGACAGCAUACAGGCCAGGUCUUGCUGUGGAGAUGAUGAAAGUGAUGUUUCAACCUAGACGUUAAAUCCGCGGAGAUAGACGCAGAAUUUGGACAAGAUCAUCUUGGAGGCUAUUACCAACUUGAAAGAGCCACGCGGUUCUGACAGAACUUCAAUCUUUAGGUAUAUAGUGAUAAAACACAAGUACAGGUUUUCUACUAAUUUUACUAGCGCAGGAGCAAGGCAGAAGUCUCCUCAACUCUGUUUAAAAGGAACAACAAAAAUGACUAACCAAAACCCAACGAAAAGGGUGCCAAUUUCUCACCAGGUCAAGAUCAGAGGGAGAGUUAUUUAUGAUAAAACGCAUGACAGG